GUUGACCAGGAUAGUCUCGAUCUCUUGACCUCAUGAUCCACCCGCCUCGGCCUCCCAAAGUGCUGGGAUUAUAGGCUUGAGCCACCGCACCCGGCCAGGAAUUUUUUUUAAUAAAGAAGUGGUGAAUGUGAGAGAUGGAUAAGCUCCUCAUUGCUGUUUUUGGAUCUGAAAUCUUUAGAAGGAUGGAGGAAUACCAAAGUUCCUCAGCAGGCAGUGUCGCCCCAAAUCAAGAAUCCUGUUCACCAUCCCACAUUCUACAAAGAAUAAGAAACCCACUUGAGCCCCCGUGCGUGCCUUACUCCCAUUCCGGCAAGGGGUGGUGGGCUUCUCCAGGAUGGGCUUUCACUUGGCCUCUGCCCCGUUCCUGCCUGAGACUUGAGCAUCGCCCUCAGUGGUCCUGCCUUGGAGCUGUGUCAGAGGAACGGAGGGGUUCUCUGGCCCUGGCCUGGUGGCACCACAGCAGCAACUGGCUUCACCCACUGUUUCUGAGGCUCUCCCCAUUUUCUGUGGCACAUAAGCAGAAGGGAAGGGUUUGAUGAGGGUGUUGGGCAGAGCCCCAUGCUCAGCCACGUCAUGAGAAGCCCCAGCAAGGCGGCGGCAGGAGGUACAGUGCGAGGCCCUCGUCCACCGGGUUGUAGUCUCCACAUAUGCCAGAGAGGGCACCCAGCUCAGCCACCUCAGCCUUCGGUGGAUCCACCAGCCUUUCCUCCACUCUGCAGAUGCCCGCUCAGUGCCCACUGCGCCAGUCACCCUCACAGGUUCUAGGGAAGCGGACAAGCAAAUCCUUGCUCUUCAACACACUGCUUCCGUGGGAUUUCUUUUCCUUGGGAAGAACAGAACCAUAACUUACACUCUCACCUAGUUUUUGACUCUGGGUUCCUUGGUGCCCAGUGACUGUUGUUCUUUCCUGUCACAAACAGAACCUUCUCCCUCCCUGCAUCCUUUCACCUUCUCAUGCCUCAGACUCUAGUUUUCACCCAGUCAGGGUGCAAUAUGACAGCACUGUACUGGAGGGUCCUGAGACCCAUGGUUCCCCAACGUUUGCAUGAAAAGCAGCACCCAAGGGCUGGUUCAACUCAGAUGCCCAAGCCCCAUAACCAGAGCGUCCGGCUCAGCGGGAGUGACGGAAGUCCAGAUGGUGCUGAUGCCAGAGGUUCGAGGCUGUAUAACUUUACAGUAAUGACUUUCUCCAUUAAAUGUGUCUAUGGCUACAGCACCCCCAAAGGACAGGAUUGGGCCCACCUUCCCCAUACAACGACCGACCCAAUGGCCUGCAGAGGAUCCACCGCCCAGGGCCAUGGGCCAGAGGGAGUUGACACCACACUACUGUGGUCUUUUUCUUGGUGACAUUCUCUGUGAUCUGCUCAUUUAGGAUUGAGUUGGGUGUGCAUGGUGUGGCAGCUGCUGUAUAGGUUUUCCUGGGACAGAAAGUAAAAGCUAUUUCUACUUUAAGCUUAAUGGCGCUUGUAUUUAUAUAGAUCCUUUGCUGUCUGGUCUCUAAAUUGACUUGGGAUUUUCACAUUGUUCUAUUCUGCUAUGGGCAGUGGAAAUUGGAGUCUCCACCAGAGUUCUGCCUGGAAGCAUUAGAACCCUGCCUUUAUGGAGUCCUCUCUUUCUCUGCCAGGAGAUGAAGCCAGCAUGUGUUUGGCCCUACUAGAAACAAUAAGAGCUUUUCAGAAGUUGGCUUUUUGGACCUUGUGGCCAUCAAGCCUAGCCUCGGGGUCUGCGGAAACCCCUUGGUAUACAUUGGAGGUGUCUGCUUUCUCACCCCACAAACAGGGACUGGAGUGCCUCAGAGGCGGUGCGGCUCACUGCGGAAGACUUCUUUUCCCUAGCCAACUUCCCUCUGUAUCCAACUGAAAUCUGCCUCUGAACAGCUUUCAUCUACUGAUCCUAAUUUGAAUCUCUUGAGCUGCAAAGAAUAUCUUUCUCACGUCAAGACCUGAGACUGUUUCUUGCCUUAGUCUUUACCUCUCUAGGCUCAGUUUUACUGUUACCAGCUCACUCUCUUUCAACUCAACUUUCGCAUCUGGUCACCCUCCUCAGGAUGCUCUGAAAACGAUACAUACAGACUGACCUUCCUAAUGACCCGACUAAUGAGAAAGGCUGCAAAAUUAGUCAUCAUCCAUGCAGUCGCCUCCCUGGGGAGGAAAAUGUUAAAUCUUCAUUGCAAGUGCUGUAAAAUGAAGUGAAAAGAUGCAGUUCCUCUUUUGAGGACGGAAUACCCAGAUUCUUCUCCUUCAGAUAUAGACUAAACACAUGUAUACGGAUCACCCACUAUGUAUCAGAUAUCGGUGACGCUUUCUUGGAUUGUCACACCCAUCCACAGAGGCAGGGCACAUUACUGUUGUUUUGUGGAUAAAUACCAGCCUCAGCUGAAUGGAGUAGACGGCCCAAGUUCUUACAGACUGGAAGGGACAGAGCCAAAAAUUUAAAGGCAAAUCUGAGUGAGGGCAAGUUCACUGCUUUUAUAAGUAAAUGUCUGCAGUAGCCACUAGGUAGACACAAGACGCGAAACAGGAUUUUGAGUUUCACAUCAACAUAACACUGGGUUUAAUUCUGGCUCUGCCACUGAGAGUUGUGUGACCUUCCACACGCCACUUCACUUCACAGGAUAACUGUAAAGGACUAAAUGGGCUUGCACGCAUGCUGGCAAUAAGCAGCAUGUGGCAAGCACUCACACCUGAGCUGUGUUCAUUAUUAGCAGCAGAGCUGGAGAAUGUUAGUUUCCUGUUGCUGAGAUGACAAGUUACCACAAACCUCAUGGCUUAACACAUAUUUAUUAUCUUGAAGUUCUGUAGAUUAGGAACUCAGCAUACUCACUGGGCUAGGGUCAAGGUGUCAGCAGGUGUGUUCCUUCUGGAGGCUCUAGGGGUAAAUCUGUCUCCUUUCCCAGCUUGAACAGGCCACCAACUUGACUUGGCUCAUGGCCCCUUCCUCCAUCUUCAGAGCCAGCAAAUCCUCAUGCUGCCAUCUCUGAUUUUUUCUCUCUUGAUUCUUCCUUCCACUUACAAGAACCCACCCAGAUUAUCCACAAUAAUCUUGCCCAUCUCAAGGUCUGCUGAUUAGCAACUUUUGUAGUCCAUUUUCUGUUGCUUGUAACACAGCACCUGAAACUAUUUAAUUUAUUUUAAUGAGGAAUUAUUUCUUACAGUUUUGGAGACUGAGAAGUCCAUGGUCAUGGUGGUGCAUCUGGUGAGGACCUUCUUGCGAAUGGGGCUUCUGCAGUCCUGAGGCAGUGCAGGGCAUCACAUGGCCGGGGGCGGAGCAUACUAACAUUCUUGCUCAGGACACUCUUCCUCCUCUUAUAAAGCCUCAGUUCCAUUCAUGUUAUAUAACCCAUGAAUUCCUUGACCUGUUAAUUCAUGAAUGGAUUAAUUCAUUCAUGAGGGCAUAGCCCUCAUGAUCCAGUCACCUCUUAAAGGCCCUACCUCUCCAUAUUGCCACAUUGGGGAUUAAGUUUCCAACACAUGAAAUUUGGGGAAUACAAGAAAACCACAGCACAUUCCAUCUACAGUUUUAAUUUCUCUUUGCCAUGUAACCUAACAUAGUCACAGGUUCCAGGAAUUAGGACAUGGAUAUCUUGGCUUGGCUUGGGGGUGAACAGAGAACCUAACAGUAAUUCUUAGUUCCCGCUCCAAACAUGGCCCUUAGGACCCAAAUAAGCUUAAUUUAUUUGGGUCCUAUCCAGGAAUGGAGCCAUUGGAACAGAGAGAGAAGAGAGAACUGGAAAGCCUUUGUAAAACACACACUGGCAUCUUCUAGUUUGACUCUUGUGUUCCUCCCCCAGUUCUGGCCCAGUAAAUGCAGGUCCUUCCCAGUUCUACCAGUCUGAUUAGUCACCCCUCCUCCCAUGGGAAAUCCAAGGCUGGUGAGGGACCACGGGGAGGUGGUCCAGGUUAUCCACAUGGCAGAGAAAAGAACUUUUUCCUGGAAAGUAGAGCUCAUAUCCUUGCCUCUCUGGAAAUUUAUCUGGGUUGAUUUAAGAAAGCUUUCCAAAUAGGCCUUCCAUAACUGCUGUAUCCCUAUGUGGCAAAGGCCACUGGCCUCCUCUUGGAGUUCUCAUGCCCACACCUGGGUGCUGGUGCCCAUCCUUCGUCCCUCACGCGUGCAACAGGGCCAGUCGCUUCAGUACUCUGGGCCUCUGCUUAUUUUUCAAGUGCGGGAAAGACUCCAGUCUAGUUCACAGUUUGCCUGAGAGGAUCCCACCUUCUGUAAAAGACCCAUCUGAAAGACAUACUGUUACCUACUACUGUCAGUGGGAAUUAGGAAGAGAAAGAAGGCUCUGCACUGGUUGUGGGGGUCCGGCUCUCAGCUCUAAGAUACUGAACAGCAGCUAUUCUAGGUGAUCUAGCACCCAAUGACCUAGGCACUCAGUCUGUGACCUACAGUUUUAACCUAAGACAAGAGUCUCUUCUGGGUGGAGACCUAGAACAGCUCUGAGGAGAAGGAGCCCAUCCUAUCCUCUCAGUUGGGAUUAGUGUUUGAGAUUACUCAACUUGGAGUUUUCUAACAAUGAGCUUUCCUGGUCAAACAAAGAACUUCUGUGACCAGGCCAAAGUGGGCAUAUCCUCACCACCAGUCUCCCAGGACCACUUUGCUUCUCCUGUUCUCCACACUCCACCCUGCCCCACACAUGGUUUUCAAAAAAGGGCACAGACUUUGUCUGCCACAUGAGCUAAUAAAAACAUGGCCAUCCUUGACUGCUCGACCAUUUUCUUUCCUGGCAAGCCAGCUGGUCUGAAUGUCCAUGGCCUGGUUGAUAGGUUUUAACUAGUGGUACAACAGGCCUAAAAUGUGUUGUAUACAAAUUAAUGCAGUCACUGCGUGAGCAAGGUGAGGUGUGCUUUGCAGCCUCCAUGUGGGUUCCUCUUGGCUUUGUUCUGCCUCCUCCUGCUUGGAUGGUGCAGCCUCUGCUGAAGAGGCAUUCUGGGUGAUUAUGAGCCAACAUUUACAGAUCUCUUCUCUCCUGAGCUGCCCCUUUGGCAUUCUGUAAAAUGUGUAUGUGAGAAAGCAUAGGGUACAGUUCUCAGCACAGGCUGAAGGAAUUUGGGGCGGGAAGAAUGUGGAUGGUUGUCUGAGGCGGCAUCUUGCCAGUCUACCCGUGCAGAAAUGGAGAGUCUGUGUUGGUGACACCACAUGUAUCUCUGUCUAGGGUCUCUUUCUCUAGAGACUGUGCAUCUGCUGAACAUGUAGUCUUUAAGUACUUGAUUGAGGUGGCCUGUGUGACAAACUGGAGUUUCUCCUAUGCUUUAAAUAGAUGAUUUGUUAACAUUCAAAAGGUUCUUAAAGGUGGCUAGAUGUGUAAUAGAGCUAUCCUCUUCAACUGAGAUGUGUAUUGGGGUGAAUUUUAAAAGUAUUGAAUGAUGAUGCAGCAUGCAGAGGGUCUUUCCACUUUAAGACAAGUCAUCUAGUUAAUUUUUCUCAGUCUCAUGCUUGAUUCUUCCUCCUCUUUUUAUUUACCUUUUCCUCAUCUUUCUACUGGGACUGUCCAAAAACAGCAUAGUAAGAAGUGAGAAUGAAUGUCCAGUUCACUGUAGCCAGUUUCCCAGUUUUUAAAUAGGAAACCAGGGUGUAAAAAGACCUAAUUUGUAUAUUGACUCACUGUCAUCAAUAACAAAAUGGGCCCAGGGAGUUUCUAAGCUGCUUCCACCUCUCCCGUGGCCCCCUGAGCUAGGCUUCCCCCAUGUGCGUGUUCUAUGCCUAACAGGUUCUCUCUCCAACUCACUAUUUGCCAUCACCACUGGGAGUCAUCCAUGUGAGAGCAGACUGUGGCAUCCACACACCUUUUCGCAGACUCACCUUGGAAACUUGGAGGAUUUGAGAAGUCAUCCCUGAGCACAAGAUCAAGAUCUGGCAUCCUCCAGCGCCUCUUCUCCCUUGCCUUGAGCAACUACAGUGGCCGUGCCCCAUUGUCAGCACGACGGCUGGUCCUUGGAGCACUUCGCCAUGAGGGAGCUGGUGUUGCUCACUGGUUAGCAAGCUUGUCUCCAGGUUAUUGAUCUUAGUUCUUUGCCACCCACACUUUUCCAUCAGCAUGAAUGGCAGCCACCUCUGGGGACUUCCUGACACAGGUGCUUGUACAUGUUUCUCAGAUGAGUGCUAGAACGUCCUGGUCUAGUUACUCAGUUUACUCCACUUCACACUUCAUCCCAUCUGGCUCCGUCUCUUCUAUACUGUGUGAGGAUAUCUUAUCUGGUCAGCUUGUUCCUUUCCAUUCCCUUCCCUUACAUCUGAAUGAAGAUUCUGAGGGAGGAAAAGAAAAAUAGAGCUCUAAAUAAGAGUUUUCUGCUUGUCACUACAUACUGGCACUGGAGUUAUUUUAUUCGAUACAUUUCAUCAGGACAAAAACAGAUACUUCACGAUAGUAUAUUUAGCUCCUUUGCCAUGUGAGCACUUGACCCCAUUUUCUUUCUCUCUAAAAUUUUGUUAAAAUCUAUAUUAGUCUCGUGAAUAUAGUAAGUCCAGAACCUUAGUUUGCAUGAUGCAUAUUUUUUCAUCCUCUUACUUUCAGCCUGUUUAUAUGUUUGAAUCGAAAGUGUGCCUCCUAUAGUCAGCAUAUCAUUACAUUUCAUUCUUCAUUGUUGUUAUUGUUGUCAUCAUUGAUGUUAAUCCAGUCAGAUAAUCCCUGCCUUUUGAUUGGAUUGUUUGAUUCAUUCACAUUUAAUGGUCUUAUGAAUACAAUUGAAUUUACAUGUGCCAUUUUACUUUUUGUUUUCUUUGUCCCAUGUCUUUGUCCAGUUUUCCUUUGCAGGUUUAUUUUGUAGCAAGUGAAUAUUUUCUAGUAUAACACUUUAAUUUCUUUAAUGAUUGUCUUCAAUGUUUUUUAAAUUGAUUUUCUUAGUAGUUGCUCUAGUGUUUAUAAUAGAGAUUAUAUUUUAUCAGAAUCUACUUCAGAUUUAUAAUCUUAAUUCCAGUAGCAUAUAGAAUUGUUCAUCCUAUAUAUUCUUUCCUCUCCUACCCUUUUCAUUCUAUUAUUUAGAUACAUGUUGUUGUAAUUAUUACUUUAUAUGACCAUCUUUAACUCUUUUUAAAGAAACUGAAAGACUAAAGGAGAGCUGGUGUAUAGUUAUAGAGUUCAUUUGUAACCCUCUUAUUUAUAAUUUCUGGCUCUCUUCAUGUCUUCUUGCAGAUUCCAUUUACUAUCUAGUGCGAUUUCCUUGCUCCAAUAUAGCUCCACCCCCACUUGCCUCCUUUGUGCUAUUAUCAAAUGUUACAUUUCUGUAUGUUAACAGAUCCAACAAUAUAGCUAUAUGCACAUUGUUUUAGUCAAAUGAUUUUUAAUCAGUUAAGAGAGAAGGGGAAAUGCAAUUAUACUGUUUUAUAAUUAGCUACAUACAUUUAUUGGUGGUGUUUUUUGUAUAAAUUCAGAUUACUCUCUUGAGUCCUAUGCUUUCAGCCUGAAGAACUUCAGUAUUUUUUGUAAGACAUGUCUCCUGGCAGUGGAUUUCAUCAUUAGUUGUCCACACAGGAAUGUCUUUAUUUCCUCUUCAUUUUUCAAA